UAUUGGCGGCGAUGGUUAGGUUUUGAAAUCUCUCUCACCCUUUGUGACAUACCUAUAACUGUUGCUUCGGCGGGCAGGGUCUCCGUGACCCUCCCGGCCUCCCGCCCCCGGGCGGGUCGGCGCCCGCCGGAGGAUAACCAAACUCUGAUUUAACGACGUUUCUUCUGAGUGGUACAAGCAAAUAAUCAAAACUUUUAACAACGGAUCUCUUGGUUCUGGCAUCGAUGAAGAACGCAGCGAAAUGCGAUAAGUAAUGUGAAUUGCAGAAUUCAGUGAAUCAUCGAAUCUUUGAACGCACAUUGCGCCCGCCAGCAUUCUGGCGGGCAUGCCUGUUCGAGCGUCAUUUCAACCCUCAAGCUCUGCUUGGUGUUGGGGCCCUACAGCUGAUGUAGGCCCUCAAAGGUAGUGGCGGACCCUCCCGGAGCCUCCUUUGCGUAGUAACUUUACGUCUCGCACUGGGAUCCGGAGGGACUCUUGCCGUAAAACCCCCAAUUUUCCAAAGGUUGACCUCGGAUCAGGUAGGAAUACCCGCUGAACUUAAGCAUAUCAAUAAGCGGAGGAA
rnacentral:rRNA from 1 species